GUCCACGCCCUAAACGAUGUCUACUAGUUGUCGGGAGAGGAAUCUCUUGGUAACGCAGCUAACGCGUGAAGUAGACCGCCUGGGGAGUACGGUCGCAAGACUAAAACUCAAAUGAAUUGACGGGGGCCCGCACAAGCGGUGGAGCAUGUGGUUUAAUUCGACGCAACGCGAAGAACCUUACCAGGGCUUGACAUACAGAUGAAUAUACUAGAGAUAGUAUAGCUCUUCGGAGCAUCUGUACAGGUGGUGCAUGGUUGUCGU
rnacentral:rRNA from 1 species